GUGAGGAAUAUUGGACAAUGGGCGCAAGCCUGAUCCAGCCAUGCCGCGUGCAGGAAGACGCAUCUAUGGUGUGUAAACUGCUUUUGUACGGGAAGAAACACUCCCUCGUGAGGGAGCUUGACGGUACCGUAAGAAUAAGGAUCGGCUAACUCCGUGCCAGCAGCCGCGGUAAUACGGAGGAUCCAAGCGUUAUCCGGAAUCAUUGGGUUUAAAGGGUUCGUAGGCGGUUUACUAAGUCAGUGGUGAAAGCCCAUCGCUCAACGAUGGAACGGCCAUUGAUACUGUUAGACUUGAAUUACAAGGAAGUAACUAGAAUAUGUAGUGUAGCGGUGAAAUGCUUAGAUAUUACAUGGAAUACCAAUUGCGAAGGCAGGUUACUACUUGUGGAUUGACGCUGAUGGACGAAAGCGUGGGGAGCGAACAGGAUUAGAUACCCCAGUAGUCC
rnacentral:rRNA from 1 species